rnacentral:rRNA from 1 species
UAUGUGAUCGUCUCUCGCAUAUCAAUAAGCGGAGGAAAAGAAACUAACAAGGAUUCCCCUAGUAACGGCGAGUGAAGCGGGAAGAGCUCAAAUUUGAAAUCUUAAAGGGUUUCCCUUUACGAAUUGUAGUUUAAAGAAGUGUUUUCUGUUGAGGUUUUGGUAAAAGUUCUUUGGAGUAGGACAUCAUAGAGGGUGAGAAUCCCGUAUUUGACCUUUACUUUCAACUUUGUGAUACACUUUCAAAGAGUCGGAUUGUUUGGGAAUGCAGUCCAAAAUGGGUGGUAAAUUUCAUCUAAAGCUAAAUAUUGGCGAGAGACCGAUAGCGAACAAGUACCGUGAGGGAAAGAUGAAGAGAACUUUGAAAAGAGAGUUAAACAGUACGUGAAAUUGUCAAAAGGGAAGCGUUUGACACCAGUGUUGUUUUUCUGAAAAUCAAUUAAAGAACUGUUUAUGCUAAGCUGUUUAGACUUUAUCAGCUAACUGUUUAGUUUUGAGCUUUUCUUUAAUGCACUUUUCAGUUAACAAGUCAACAUCAAUUUCUUUUGCUGUAAAAAAGCUUGAGGAAGGUGGCUUGAGAUUCGUCUUAAGUGUUUAUAGCCUCUUGCCUAUGCAGUCGGAGAGAUUGAGGUCUGCAGCGUAGAUCCUUCGGGGCUAAAUGCAUUUGUGCUAAGUUAUAGCAUUUUAUAGACAACUUGUUGACUAUGAUUUGUCUUGUAGCUUACUCGCUUAUGUUAUUUUACCUACGCUUAGGAUGUUGAAGAUAUGCGCGACACGA